CAGCUGAGGAGCAACAGCUGGGAGGACACAAUUGUGGUGGUACAUUGGAGCCCAGAGAACACAGCAACAGGUGGGAGAGAAAGAAAAAGAGUUGGAUGUGGAAUAAUGUAAGGUUAGAGAAGAGAUGUGAAUGACCUUGGGAAAUCGGAAAGAAAGAUUAAAGCCCAAGAGGAAUGAGGCACAGAAUGCUUUAAUUCGAAGACCUUGUGAACUCUAAGUUUUCAGAAAGAAGGUCAACAUGAAUCCCAACCACUACUUCAAGGAAGUCCAUAGCAUUCUUGCUCACUCAGAGAGGAUUCCUAAAGCAUCUUUAAAUGAGCGGGUCAGUGGUGCCUCCUUUUUGGUAUGUGAGAGAACCCCAACACCGAUGCAGGAAACAAAUAUUUGCUUUCUAUACAUGGGGACCCAGGACGCCAUGCAUGAAUAGAGGUCUCCAAACAGGUACACAUUUGGCAUACAGGAUAAAGUGAUCCAAACCUGGUAACACAGGAGGACUAUUUAGGUAGGCUAAGUCCAGAUUAGAGCGGUAUUUGGAACGCAAGUCUAAUAUGGAGUCUCCUCAGCUCCUUUUUCGGUGAUUAUUCCAUGCAGAGUGCAUAAUAAUGAAAGAGCCUUAGACAUUGCAAAGGAAAAGACGAACCAAGAGCCAGAUUCGGAGCCCUUAAAAUGAUCCACUGGCCACUCACACAUAGCAUCGAGCAAAUACAUGAUCUGCUUUCAAAAGGUAACUAGUACAAAUAGAACUCGCUCACAGCAGUGCUUUUCCUUUCUCUAGCUUGCUCUCUCCCAAUCUCUUAGUCUCAAUUUCCUUCCCCUCUCUCUCUCUCUCUUUAGAUUCUUUUUUUCUCCUCUUCUAAGAUAAGAAAGCUACUUGAUUCAGGGCAUGAUUAUUGUCUCAGCCAGCUCUAGAAACUAGAAAAGCACACAUUAAACAAAGAACACAACAACAUACCUUAAAAGCAGCUCUUCAUUUCUCAUAGUAACAGCGGAUUUGGGACAGCGCAUGCUUUCUACACAGAUAGUCUCAACAAAAGCCAGUUCAGAAGUACGCUCAAACAUCAAUGCCACAGUCGCUGUUCACUAAUGCGCCCUCUCUCUCUCCCCCCCCCCUCUCUUUCUCUCUCCACUCUCUUCCCUAGUCAAAUGCUGGAUAGUAGAGCAAAGGGGCUCCUGCAGAUUCACUAAGUAGAAAUAAUCCUCUCUGACAAGUUAUGUUGUCUCGGCAUAUUUUUACACUAAUACACUGUGCUGCCUAUAGGGGUCUUGUUUGCAUUCACUCAAGCCUGGCUGGUGUUAGUUCUCCUAAUUACCAUCUUAAAAAACUGGACAGAAAAUUAAGCAACUUGGUUACCUUUUUCUUAUACAUUUAAUAGCAAAGCCAAUUUCCCAAUUUUCCUUUGCUGUCAACUGUCAGCGGGCAUUGCAGAUGACUAACGAAAGAUUGGGAUAGGUCAGUGUGCUCAAAAGCAUUUUUGUCUCUUUUUUUUCUGGGACACUGCAUUCACAGUUGGAUUCAUCUGUUCCUCUCCUCUUGUCCUCAGGAAGAGUGACAAGGUCAAGACCCUUAGCCCCACCCUGGACCAGGGAUGUAGAGGACAGAGAUCGGGGGACUUGGAAAUGUUUUAACUCUCUGCACACCAGGGUUCUCAUAAAUCACAGCAUAAUUCACCUGAAGCAGAGGAUCUAAAGCAGAGAGUCACUUGCAAAGAUUGUUGGCCCCAUUGAAAUCCUAAUUGACAGAGGAGUAUCAUCCUCAAAAGGCCAUUGAGUUGCUCUUUUCCAAAAUAAGAAAAAUCUGCUUCCUUACUUCAAUAUACUCCCUAGGCUUUGCAUGUAGAGGAAACCAGAAAAACACACUGUACUUCUGUUUUUUGGAAUUAGAAGCAUUCGAGGCAUAUUAACCAAGUAAAAUAGCUAGUUAAACAUACACACAAGGAAAAAACUAGAUACUGUGGACCAAAUAAUCGGUUGUCCAAAAGUGCAAGUUAAGGAGCCGCUUCAGGAGAAGUGUUCUGACCGGAAGUCAAGAAUGUUCUUUGCUUGGAUGGAACAUCCUAGAACAGCCCAAAACAGACCUGGGUCACUGAACACUGGCCUCCCUCCCAUCCUGCAUCAGCACAAUGGUGCAUGUCAGUCAUGAUCUGGAUUCUCAGCAUUAGCAGAAAAAAUAAGAGUCGGGAGAAAAUUGGCAGACUGUGUUCCCACCUAUUUCAGAGUCUGGAACACACAACAAAAUCUUGCUAGAUCUUUGACCUCUGAACUUGGUCUUGGUCCACAGCCAGGAAGAUGGAGAUUAUCCUGGGAUGCACGUGUGAAGGAUCUUUAAUUUCUGUUGCACACUAAUCCUGUGUAGCACAUCAACGGGACUAAGGGAUAACAGCAAAGUAGAAUCAUUCGCCAUCCCUAUGUCCAGAUGGCAAUAAGAAGACAUGGUAAAUCACUUGACAAAGGUCAGAUCAUGAAACAAAAUCAUGUCCCUAAAACAAUCUCAUUUUUUAACUUAUCCUUGCUGCAUUAGAACAUAUGAAAGUUACGGAGUGAAUAUAUAUGAAAAUGAGUGACCUUGUCAGAGAAUGAUAGCAUAAAAAAUCUAAGAUGUUCCUUUGAAGUGGGAAAAGCAUUGUGUAAUGAGCUUGGAACCAGAGAGGCCUUAGGGAGAUAGAGUGUGACCCUCUUCCCCUCCAGACUUGUGUUGAGUGCGGGGCAGAAGGCUCUUGACCUCUCUGGGGCUCUCUUUGCCCUGAGGUUAAAUGGAGGCAGUGAAUGCAAAUUUGUUUUAAGGCACGUGAAGAGCUUGUAAUGAAACUGGGUGUGUGUGGUCAGUGCAAACAUUCACAAAAAAUUGAAUGAUUGCACUGACAUCUGGCAUGGGUUUUGUCUAUUUGAGAAGGAUAAAAAUACACUGCUUAGCCCACAGGCCUAUUCUGCAUAUAUCCAUAUAAUUUCUAGUGGUGUUAAACUAUGAGGCAAGCAUUAACAUAUGACAAUAAUGCAUUCACUUAUCUAUAAGUAGAUUCUUCACAUUGGAAGCCAGUAAAUGAAUUAUGAAUCCGUAUUAGUAAUGACUGGAAUUGAACCAAACCAUUAAAUAUUUUAUACUCUCUCCACUUCCUUUUUAGUCUAGAGACCUGAGUAAUGAGAAAGCUAUUGAGGUAAGAGUUUAGUACUUGUUCCAACUCCCCUAAUAUGACAGAUUGAGGGCCUUACAUCCACCAGUUGCUUGUGCUAAAUUGGGAUUAUAAAGAUGAGUGAGUGGAAGGAAGGAUGUUAUUUAUAAUAUUCACAUAUUGUAUAUUAAGUCUUUGACCCCAAAUGCACGUUGAAUAAAUCUUUGCACUUUGUACUGCUACCAAUGGACUAUCUUUCUGGCUGGUACUUAAUAAACACUUGGAUAAAUAUAAAA